GUUUCAUUUAAAUUUAAAUUAGAAUUUUAUUUUUUAGUUAAAAAGCUAAAAUUUUAUUAAAAGACGAGAAGACCCUAUAAAUCUUUAUAUUUAAAUUUAUUUUAAUUUUUUAAGAUUAAUUUUAUUAUAAUAAGUUUAGAUAUUUUAUUGGGGUGAUAUUAAAAUUUAAAUAACUUUUAAUUGUUAUAAUUACAUUAAUUUAUGAUUUAUUGAUCCAUUAGUAAUGAUUAUAAAAUUAAGUUACUUUAGGGAUAACAGCGUAAUUUUUUUGGAGAGUUCUUAUCGAUAAAAAAGUUUGCGACCUCGAUGUUGGAUUAAGAGAUAUUUUUAAUGCAGAAGUUAAAAUAUAAAGUCUGUUCGACUUUUAAAUUCUUACAUGAUCUGAGUUCAAACCGGUGUAAGCCAGGUUGGUUUCUAUCUUUAAUUUUGUAUAAUAUUUUAGUACGAAAGGAAUUUAUAUUAAAAAUAAUUUUUAAUAAUUGAAU
rnacentral:rRNA from 1 species